rnacentral:rRNA from 1 species
AGUGAACGCUGGCGGUAGGCCUAACACAUGCAAGUCGAACGGCAGCACAGUAAGAGCUUGCUCUUACGGGUGGCGAGUGGCGGACGGGUGAGGAAUACAUCGGAAUCUACUUUUUCGUGGGGGAUAACGUAGGGAAACUUACGCUAAUACCGCUUACGACCUACGGGUGAAAGCAGGGGAUCUUCGGACCUUGCGCGAUUGAAUGAGCCGAUGUCGGAUUAGCUAGUUGGCGGGGUAAAGGCCCACCAAGGCGACGAUCCGUAGCUGGUCUGAGAGGAUGAUCAGCCACACUGGAACUGAGACACGGUCCAGACUCCUACGGGAGGCAGCAGUGGGGAAUAUUGGACAAUGGGCGCAAGCCUGAUCCAGCCAUACCGCGUGGGUGAAGAAGGCCUUCGGGCUGUAAAGCCCUUUUGUUGGGAAAGAAAAGCAGCAGGUUAAUACCCCGCUGUUCUGACGGUACCCAAAGAAUAAGCACCGGCUAACUUCGUG